rnacentral:rRNA from 1 species
CACGUAGGGACCAAGCGUUGUCCGGAAUCAUUGGGCGUAAAGAGCGUGUAGGCGGUCCGGUAAGUCGGCUGUGAAAGUCCAGGGCUCAACCCUGGGAUGCCGGUCGAUACUGCCGGACUAGAGUUCGGAAGAGGCGAGUGGAAUUCCCGGUGUAGCGGUGAAAUGCGCAGAUAUCGGGAGGAACACCUAUGGCGAAGGCAGCUCGCUGGGACGUUACUGACGCUGAGACGCGAAAGCGUGGGGAGCAAACAGG